rnacentral:piRNA from 1 species
UAGGAAUAGGACUGACUGACUAGGGA